GUCACCAUGGCCGAGCGGUUAAGGCGCCUCAGCUCGUUGGGUGAGGUCCAUCACAAGUUGUUUCCUGAGGACACCUGGGUUCGAAUCCCAGUGAUGACG